rnacentral:rRNA from 1 species
CCUACGGGUGGCAGCAGUGGGGAAUAUUGCACAAUGGGGGGAACCCUGAUGCAGCGACGCCGCGUGGGUGAAGAAGGGCUUCGGCGUGUAAAGCUCUGUCAGCAGGGAAGAAAAUGACGGUACCUGACUAAGAAGCCCCGGCUAACUACGUGCCAGCAGCCGCGGUAAUACGUAGGGGGCAAGCGUUAUCCGGAUUUACUGGGUGUAAAGGGGGCGCAGACGGCGGUGCAAGUCAGGAGUGAAAGCCCAGGGCUUAACCCCGGGACUGCUCUUGAAACUGGGUAGCUGGAGUGCAGGAGGGGUAGGUGGAAUUCCUGGUGUAGCGGUGAAAUGCGUAGAUAUGAGGAGGAACACCGGUGGCGAAGGCGGCCUACUGGACUGCAACUGACGUUGAGGCGCGAAAGCGUGGGGAGCAAACAGGAUUAGAUACCCUGGUAGUC